AAAAACAGAGGGAAAGAGCGAAAAGACAAGAAGGGCGCAAACUGUGACAGACUCACCGCUUCACUAACUACUCACUUAAACUGGAAGCAAAAUGUCCCUAAAAUUGCCAAGGAACUGGGAUUUCAACCUGAAAAUGGAGGCUGUGAAAAUAGUAAAUGCUAAAGGGAGUCCUUCCUGCAGGUUGAUAUAAAAGGACACUAAACAAUAACUUGAUGCCAUAUGAAGAAAAAAAGAUCUCAGCAAAGAUACUGACUCCCACGCAGGAAAAAGGAAGCACCUUUUGUCAGAUGCUGUGGCCACUUCCUCUUCAGAAGGCUCCAGCCAACCUUUCGGUUUGCAGAAUGACGGGGCCUGCCGCGGUGCCAGACUGCCUGUGCACGGGGCCACCGACUGCAGCCUGGGUUUUAUUCUUGGCCUGGCCCUGACCGGGAGCUGGCCCCUCGGCUGCUUCUCUGGCUCGGGGGGGGACUUUCUCUGGCUCAGAUCCAGACCCCUGAACUGGACCUGGUUGUCGUCCCCCCGCUUCUCAGCCCCCUCUG
rnacentral:sRNA from 1 species